AUUGAACGCUGGCGGCAUGCCUUACACAUGCAAGUCGAACGGUAACAGGUCUUCGGAUACUGACGAGUGGCGAACGGGUGAGUAAUACAUCGGAACGUGCCCGAGAGUGGGGGAUAACGGAGCGAAAGCUUUGCUAAUACCGCAUACGAUCUACGGAUGAAAGCAGGGGACCGCAAGGCCUUGCGCUCAUGGAGCGGCCGAUGGCAGAUUAGGUAGUUGGUGGGAUAAAAGCUUACCAAGCCGACGAUCUGUAGCUGGUCUGAGAGGACGACCAGCCACACUGGGACUGAGACACGGCCCAGACUCCUACGGGAGGCAGCAGUGGGGAAUUUUGGACAAUGGGCGCAAGCCUGAUCCAGCCAUGCCGCGUGCAGGAUGAAGGCCUUCGGGUUGUAAACUGCUUUUGUACGGAACGAAAAGCCUCUUUCGAAUAAAGAGAAGUCAUGACGGUACCGUAAGAAUAAGCACCGGCUAACUACGUGCCAGCCGCCGCCGUAA
rnacentral:rRNA from 1 species